CAAACGGGUGAGUAACGCGUGGGUGACCUACCUUCGAGUGGGGGAUAACCUUCCGAAAGGAGGGCUAAUACCGCAUAACAUCCCGCUCUUGGACGAGCGGUGAUCAAAGCUGGGGAUCGCAAGACCUAGCGCUUGUUGAGGGGCCCGCGUCCGAUUAGCUUGUUGGUGGGGUAAUGGCCCACCAAGGCUACGAUCGGUAGCCGGCCUGAGAGGGCGGACGGCCACACUGGGACUGAGACACGGCCCAG
rnacentral:rRNA from 1 species